rnacentral:rRNA from 1 species
AUUGAACGCUGGCGGCAGGCCUAACACAUGCAAGUCGGACGGUAGCACAGAGGAGCUUGCUCCUCGGGUGACGAGUGGCGGACGGGUGAGUAAUGUCUGGGGAUCUGCCCGAUAGAGGGGGAUAACCACUGGAAACGGUGGCUAAUACCGCAUAACGUCGCAAGACCAAAGCGGGGGACCUUCGGGCCUCUCACUAUCGGAUGAACCCAGAUGGGAUUAGCUAGUAGGCGGGGUAACGGCCCACCUAGGCGACGAUCCCUAGCUGGUCUGAGAGGAUGACCAGCCACACUGGAACUGAGACACGGUCCAGACUCCUACGGGAGGCAGCAGUGGGGAAUAUUGCACAAUGGGCGCAAGCCUGAUGCAGCCAUGCCGCGUGUAUGAAGAAGGCCUUCGGGUUGUAAAGUACUUUCAGCGGGGAGGAAGGCGAUGUGGUUAAUAACCGCGUCGAUUGACGUUACCCGCAGAAGAAGCACCGGCUAACUCCGUGCCAGCAGCCGCCGCUG